rnacentral:lncRNA from 1 species
GACUCUAAUUAGACUCAAGGCAUCUUCUAAAAGUAUCCUUGAAAUUACUGACAAGAAUACAUAUAAAUUUUUAGUUCUGGUAGGACUUGGAAAUUCAUGCCAAAGGAGGUCAGUUCCACCAAGAAUGAGAGCAACCUGAUGGGUCUUGACACAAGUGGAUUUGGGAUGGUCUGACUUGGCCUCAAUGCAGCUCAGUGUUGUCCAAACAGAAAGGUAAUGCUGCCACUGCCACAUCAUGUAAGGUUCAAUUUCCAUCAAUUCAGGAACAUAACUAUCCAGGAUAACAAAGAUCACCUUGUAAUAAGGUACUGACUAGAUGAUAAAAUCCAAUAAUAGACUCACCCAAGUUAUGUGGGGUAUAGUAAAAAACAGGGUCUUCCGAAUUUUAAUUAUUAGGUGUUAGAUUCCGUGGAGUCCAGGUUGAAUUUUGACUUUAUAAUGGUGCUAUCUGUACUGAGGUAGAGGUCUUUUGGUUGUCCUAACGGAAUAUGAAAAUGAUGUCAUUGUCAUGAGUAAAAUCAUGAUUCGCAGACCACUUCUCAAAAUUGACUCCAGAAUCUUGAAGAAAAUUUUAUCACGAUGUUUUGAUGUUAAAUAAGUACAAUAGCAUCUUGAGCUGAUUUGACGUAGUUAGGCAGGAUCUGAAGUAUGAAUCAUUACUAUUUAUGUUAUAUGACAUCAAUGGAUGCUAUUUCAGUUGCUGGACGCAUGCUAAUCCAUUGCAUGAUUGGUAUGGUUUCGGUCAGUGUCAACAUAUGGUAUGCCAGCACAUGCCGUGGUACCAAGAAGAGGGCAGUGGAGGAGGCAGCAGCAGAGGAAGAGGAGAAAAGGUAAAAGAUGAGGAUGAGAAGUACCAGAGAUGAGGCGAGCAGUCGGUGAGCGACGGAGAGCAGAGCAGAGAAUGGUAGUGGCAGUGGGUUGGAGUCCCCUCUCAAGUCCUAAGAGAUCCCUGCUGCAGCCUUAAAAGUAAAAGAAAAAAAAAAGAUCAACUGCCGCCAAAAGAAAAAGUGAAAAACUAUUCUGGACAGUUUGAAAUGGGGUGGUCCAUGCUUGGAACCAUAAAUACCGCGUGCUAUGGACCAGUCCAGGUGAAAUUGAGUUCCUUGUGCAACAUCAAUAAAUAAUAUGAUAAAAAAUAGGACAAAUGGAUUUGCAGCAUGCAAAGCAGAAAAUGAGGUAAGUAAAAAAAAUGGUCUUUUGUACAUAAAACAUCUUCUAAGAGUCUAAUUGCAUGUUUGCUCCCUCAAAAAGUGUCAAAUUAUCAUGGUGCACAUGUAAAAUUGGUUUCUUUAUGUGAUAAUUCCUACAAAUAUCAUGACAUGUCAGAAGUUGUUCAUUAUCAUAUGUAACAUCAUAUUUUAUCCCUAUGCAAGGAUACCCUACUAAUUUUUUUGAUGGCCACAUGUUCAAUUUAUAAAUACGAAAACAUUAUGAAAAAUUUAGAGGGACUUUAUGGGAAAGUUAAAUUUGGAUGUCUCAAUGGUCUAUUAUAUUGUUAGGUUAAACAGGGAUUUUACAUGUCAGCUGGGCCAUUUGUGCAAAGAAUUUAAAUAAAUUUAGGGUAUUAAGAUACUUUGACACUUUGAUGUAGAAGAUUUGUGAUUUGACAAUCUAGAUGGCCAUAUGUGCAAAGGACAUUUAUAAUAUAACCAAGGAACUAAUUUAUGAUAAUCUAGACUUGCUUCUGUUUCAGGAUCUCACAUGCAGAUUUUGUUGACACUAAGCUUGGAGCCUUGAGGGAAGAUGAAUGUAUGAAACUUAUUGUCUCAUCAACUUCUACAUCAAUCUCAUUGGAAGAAAAAGAAAAGAAAGUGUUCCUAUAUAUAAAUCAGGACUGUUAUUUCAUGAAAAUUCAGUAUGAGAAAGGACUGAGUUUCUGGAAAGCUG